rnacentral:rRNA from 1 species
GACGAACGCUGGCGGCGUGCUUAACACAUGCAAGUCGAACGGAAAGGCCUUUUCGGAGGUACUCGAGUGGCGAACGGGUGAGUAACACGUGGGUGAUCUGCCCUGCACUCUGGGAUAAGCCUGGGAAACUGGGUCUAAUACCGGAUAGGACCGCACUUUAGUGUGUGUGGUGGAAAGUUUUUUCGGUGUAGGAUGAGCCCGCGGCCUAUCAGCUUGUUGGUGGGGUAAUGGCCUACCAAGGCGGCGACGGGUAGCCGGACUGAAAGGUUGGUCGGCCACAUUGGGACCGGAGUACGGCCCAGACUCCUACGGGAGGCAGCAGUGGGGAAAAUUGCACAAUGGGCGCAAGCCUGAUGCAGCGACGCCGCGUGGGGGAUGACGGCCUUCGGGUUGUAAACUCCUUUCGCCAGGGACGAAGCGUUUUGUGACGGUACCUGGAGAAGAAGCACCGGCUAACUACGUG